UACAGAGGGGGGCAAGCGUUAUUCGGAAUUAUUGGGCGUAAAGGGCGCGUAGGCGGACCUGCAAGUCGGGGGUGAAAGCCCGAGGCUCAACCUCGGAACUGCCUUCGAUACUGCGGGUCUCGAGUCCGGGAGAGGUGAGUGGAAUUCCUAGUGUAGAGGUGAAAUUCGUAGAUAUUAGGAAGAACACCAGUGGCGAAGGCGGCUCACUGGCCCGGUACUGACGCUGAGAGACGAAAGCUAGGGGAGCAAAUGGG
rnacentral:rRNA from 1 species